UUGGACCAAUGGCUCUCUUUUGGGCUGACCUGGUUCAAGGAAGGUUGUCCAAAGAACAACUCUGUGAGUUUGGAAAAUCUUGGUGAAUUCACAUCCUGAAAAACCAUCUUAUCAGGCCAGAGGAGAUUGUUGGGUGCAGUACCAGUCUUUUCCCCACCCAGUGAAGUGGAGUCCGGUCAUUCCAGUCUCUAUCCUUGUGGUUGGGAUUAUACAGCCCCUUCUUUAGAAUCCUGCUCACCGUACUGCAGUCCCCCACAGCAACAGCCUGGUGGAGCCUGGUCAUAUCUAUCAUUUUAGACAUUUCCUGCUCAGAAAACAGUCACAUGUGUUGAAUAUAGAAGGGGGUGUGUGGGUGUCUACUCAAUAAAGUGAAUAUUAUAAUGUG